AAGAAUCUUUUUUUUUUUUUUUUUUUUUGAAGAAACCAUUGAAGAAUGACAGCAGAACAGUUAAUUCCAAAUCUUAACCUGUUUAACUUGUCUUGAACAAGUCUGGACAGUUUUCUUACCAUAUAGGUUACUUUAAUUUCUGUUGUGAUUGGCAUAUGUUAAUACUUAGUGUUUUCUUUGUUCAAUUGACAACCAAGAAAAUGAUAGUGCCCUCUAAAAUGUUAAUAUUAUUAAAAGGGUUUUGAAAAGAACUUUGAUUUUAGCAAUAUGGUUUUAUUCAAUAAUUAGGCAAAAAGAUCCAAGGCAGUAUUAAGCUCAAAACAGUAAUUUGUUUCAGAGAGCAGUUGAUGAAUAACAAUUAGCACAGGGCUUAGUACAGAGUAAGCUUUCCAGUAAAUGUUUAGCGACUAGCUAACUACAUGGCACUCAGACCAUGAGAAUUGUUUUUAUACACACACACCCCCAUUGUGAAUUUGUUAAAAAUCUGUGUAAAGUAAGAAUCUUUUCAGUUUCACACAAAAAAGAUGCAAGAGAUAGGAGGUUUAUAGAACCUAGGUUCAUAAGUAAACUCAGGAUUCGUUUAAGCUUCUUUUAUGCCUUUUUGUGACAGCUAGGAUGAGAAAAGCUUGGGAUUGCAGAAACAGGUCAGUGGGUAAGUGGACCUGCUGCUCUUCCAAAGGACCCAAGUUCAGUUCCUCCCUCCCUUGUGCUCACAGUGCCUACUGUAGCUCCAGCUCUGGGGAUCUAACAUUCCCUUCUGGCCUCCUGACACCAACACACUUGUAACACACACACAUAAAUACAAAAUAUGAAAAAUGUUCAUUUAAUUCAACUAUGUAUAAUGUAUAUACAUUUACAUAAAUUUGAUUACUGUAUAUGGAAAUGCAUUGGCAUUUGUACAUCUCUUCUGGCUUUCCUUCCUUUUCAUUUUUUGUUGUUACAGCCACAUGAGUACUGGGACAGGCAUAGGAAGAGUAGGCAUGCCUCCCCAUGCGCUAGACUACAAUUGCUUUCUCUAAUCUAAUUCUAAUCCUAUUUAUCUUUAGUAAUUAUACUGAUACAGAAUAAUGCUUAUCUUUCAAGAUCCAAAUCUGAGAGAGAAAAAACAAUAUUAAAAGUCUGUUCAGACCGCCAUUUUAGUAGACAUAGGAGUUUAGUUAACUUAUAGUCAGCACAUAGUAGUAAGUAUGUUUAUCCCUGUGUUCUCUAACUAGGAAGUCUGGCUUUAAAGGUUUUUUAAAGUUUCCUCUAAUAUUUUGAUCAAAGGUCGAGGGAGUACAAAAUGCAUUAAGUUCAAUAUAUUUAACUAUGUUGAAUGAUAAGUUAUAUUUACCUUUUUACCUAAAUAGUCACCAGAAACCUAUCUUGCCCUUUUCGGGGAUUUUUGGGGGGAUGGUAGAAUUGUUUAUAAUUGACUCUAGUUUUAUUAGCACCACUUCCCAUAGUUAAAAAUGUUUUCUACUGUCUAAUAAUUCAAAAGUUUAAAAUUUGCCAGGGGUAGUGACACACAUCUUAGCACUCCGGAGGCCGAGGCAGGAGAAUCUCUUGUGAGGUCAUCCUGAUCUUCAUAGUGAGUUCCAGGGCAGUUAGGACUAUAUAGAAGACCUUGUCUCAAAAAAGAAAUAAAGAUUAAGAAAUCUUAAGGUAAAGAUAAUUAAAAAUUAGUAAUUUUUAUUUAUAAAUAUUCAGUGUUCUAUUAUUCUACUCAUUACCACUAUCGAAUUAGUACUUUUGACUUUUUCGAGCUUGUUAUAUUUCUUAAAGCAGAUAAGUGUAUUAUUUUAUUAGUAGUAUUAUGGCCUUAAGCUUUUUGGUAUAUAAUCGGGCUUGCUCAAAUUUGCAGACUUUUAGAUGAUUCUUUGUUUUUGCUACCUGGCUUUUUAAAAUUUAGAACUCAAUGGCUUUGUUUUGGCAAGGUUUUAGUUAAUAACUAGUAAGAAUGCAUUGUGUUAUUUUAAAAAAUAUCCAAGGAUUUUUGAGUCAGGAAAGCUGAUAUCUAGUUUUGCCUCUCCUUUCAGUGAGCUCUGUUAACCCGAUAGAGCAUUUUUGUUUGCAGUUGAAAGGAAUUCAGGAAUUAGAUUAGGAGUCUCAGAUUCCACCAGACUCUAAUUUGUUUCUCCCUUGACCAUUUUAUAGUCAUUGUUGAGAGCUCACUUGUAUUGUCUUCCCAUAAACUCUGUUUGCUCGAUCAGCUUACUCAGCUAAGGCAGCUGCACUCUAGGACCCCAGUGUUAGAAAAGUAUCCUGACAGUGGGCUCCAUUUCCAGCCCCCUCACAGACUGGCUCAGGCUGAUCUCAGAGGCUUAGGUGUAUAUCCCAGGCUGGCUUUGAGCUCAUGGAACUCUCACCCUUGCCAGGCAAGUGCUGGGAUUUCAGACAUGCCACCAUGUUCUAACUUAAGCGAUUUUUAAAAGAGGAAAAUUAUAGAUAAUAAAAGUAAAAGAAGUUAUAAAUACCAGGCAUGGCUUUUAAUGGGAAAAAUUUAGAUGUCAACAUAAGUUGAUAAACAAAAGAAAUGACAUGAUAUUUUUGAUAUUUGUUCUCUUAAUUAUGAAUAUAGAUUUUCUAGUCCAGCCCUCAUACCAAAUGCAUUCUGUAGAGCUGUAGUGUAGCUCAUUGGGAGAGUACCUCCCUAGCAUGUGUUCAAAAUAAAAUCAGUGAUGAACAGAUCGCUGACAGCACCGGUCCCUUUGCUAAUUAAAAGGCUGUCAGGUUUUUCCAGCUUUCAUUAGUGUUGUUUUUGCUGCUGCUGCUGCUGCUACUGCUACUACUACUAUUACUAUUAUUUUGGUUUUUCAAGACAAUGUUUCUCUGUGUAGUCCUGGCUGUCCUGGAACUUGCUCUGUAGAUCAGGCUGACCUUGAACUCAGAGAUCUGGUUGCCUCUGCCUCCCACGUGAGAGGCUUAAAGUUAUGUGCCACCACUGCCCAGAUUGAUUAUAAAGUCUAAAGAACUUAGAGAAAUGGAAUAGAACUCUUUAACUGCCUCCUCAACUUCAUUGAAUAUGUGUAGUUGCAGAUUGCCACAGAAAAGCGAUGACCGAUUUUAAAAUAUUAGCAGGAUUAGGAUUUAGCUCAGCAAUAGACAGGGCCAUGGGUUCAGUCCCAGCAUUGAAAAUAAAACUCAUAAAAUAUUGUUAGAGAUAAAUGUGACUUGUUAUUGUUCAUUUGUCCUGGCUUUGCAGAGAAUAUUACCAUAAAGUUCCCUUAAUUCUCCUGGGGCCAGUGAGAUGACGUGGCAGGUACUGGCACUUGCUGCCGUGCCUGACAGUGUUGGUUUCUAGCCUAGACACUCAUAUGAUGGGGGAGAGAACAGACUCCCACAAGUUGUCCUUUGACCUCCACAUGCGGGUUGUAGUGCACAUGCACACACAU
rnacentral:lncRNA from 1 species